rnacentral:rRNA from 1 species
AGUCAAGCAACUAAGCGCAUACGGUGGAUGCCUUGGCAGUCAGAGGCGAUGAAAGACGUGGAAGCCUGCGAUAAGGCUCGGGGAGCUGGCAAACAAGCUGUGAUCCGGGCAUCUCUGAAUGGGGAAACCCACCGGUCUUCGGACCGGUACCGUACAGUGAAUACAUAGCUGUACGGGGCGAACUCGGGGAACUGAAACAUCUAAGUACCCGAAGGAAAAGAAAUCAACCGAGAUUCCCUCAGUAGCGGCGAGCGAACGGGGACCAGCCCUUAAGCUGGACAACUGGUAGGAGAAGGCCCUGGAAAGAGCCGCCAUAGUGGGUGAUAGCCCCGUAUCCGAAACCUGAGUCCAGUGAAAUCGAGUAGGACGGGACACGAGACAUCCUGUCUGAACAUGGGGGGACCAUCCUCCAAGGCUAAAUACUCCUGACUGACCGAUAGUGAACCAGUACCGUGAGGGAAAGGCGAAAAGAACCCCUGUGAGGGGAGUGAAAUAGAUCCUGAAACCGUAUGCGUACAAGCAGUCGGAGCGGACUUGUUCCGUGACGGCGUACCUUUUGUAUAAUGGGUCAGCGACUUAUGUUCAGUGGCGAGGUUAACCGUUUAGGGGAGCCGUAGGGAAACCGAGUCUGAAUAGGGCGAUUUAGUCGCUGGGCAUAGACCCGAAACCGGGCGAUCUAUCCAUGAGCAGGUUGAAGGUUGAGUAACAUCAACUGGAGGACCGAACCCACUGUCGUUGAAAAGCCAGGGGAUGACUUGUGGAUCGGAGUGAAAGGCUAAUCAAGCCCGGAGAUAGCUGGUUCUCCCCGAAAGCUAUUUAGGUAGCGCCUCGGACGAAUACCACAGGGGGUAGAGCACUGUUUCGGCUAGGGGGUCAUCCCGACUUACCAACCCGAUGCAAACUCCGAAUACCUGUGAGUACUAUCCGGGAGACACACGGUGGGUGCUAACGUCCAUCGUGAAGAGGGAAACAACCCAGACCGCCAGCUAAGGUCCCCAAAUACCAGUUAAGUGGGAAACGAUGUGGGAAGGCUCAGACAGCUAGGAGGUUGGCUUAGAAGCAGCCAUCCUUUAAAGAAAGCGUAAUAGCUCACUAGUCGAGUCGGCCUGCGCGGAAGAUGUAACGGGGCUCAAACUGGUUACCGAAGCUGCGGCUG